rnacentral:misc_RNA from 1 species
GAAAUGCGAUAAGUAAUGUGAAUUGCAGAAUUCAGUGAAUCAUCGAAUCUUUGAACGCACCUUGCGCUCCUUGGCAUUCCGAGGAGCAUGCCUGUUUGAGUGUCGUCAAAUUCUCAAAACCUCCUACCUGAUGUGGACCAUUGUCGACGCAUAGAUUAUCCGUCUAUGUGGAGGGUGCGUGCUCCCUGCACCCAACACUCCUCCGCCUUUGGUCCACUACUUCUUCAGGCAGUGGGUUCUGGAUCGGUGGAGGAUGCAUUGCUGGCUAACUCUUUGCUUUGCUUCUCUGAAAUGGAUCGGCGUUACGGCUUCGUUGUCGGUAUAUGAUACAUAUACAUGUCUUACCUGCUUCCAAGCUGCUCCAGCCUUGAACACAAACACGCUCUCACUAUUUGACCUC